rnacentral:misc_RNA from 1 species
GUAGGUGAACCUGCGGAAGGAUCAUUACUGAGAGUACUGGGCUCUGCCUAGCUACUUUUACCCAUGUUUUUUAAGCACCAAAGUUUCCUCGGCGGCCUCGCCCGCCGGUUGGACUCAAUCAAACCCUUUGUAGUUGCAGUCAGCGUCAGUAAAACUUAAUAAUUAAAACUUUCAACAACGGAUCUCUUGGUUCUG